UAAAGCUCUUUUGGCAGGGAAGAAACGGUUGCGAUGAAUAUCCGCGACUACUGACGGUACCUGCAGAAUAAGCACCGGCUAACUACGUGC
rnacentral:rRNA from 1 species